rnacentral:rRNA from 1 species
UACGUAGGGUGCGAGCGUUAAUCGGAAUACUGGGCGUAAAGCGUGCGCAGGCGGUGAUGUAAGACCGAUGUGAAAUCCCCGGGCUUAACCUGGGAACUGCAUUUUGUGACUGGCGGGCUAGAGUAUGGCAGAGGGGGGGUAGAAUUCCACGUGUAGCAGUGAAAUGCGUAGAGAUGUGGAGAAUACCGAUGGCGAAGGCAGCCCCCUGGGCCA